rnacentral:pre_miRNA from 1 species
GUUAGUCUAAUUUGUAUGGAGUUGGAACGUUUGCGUACGUUUGCCGCUAGUGGCGCUGUUUCAACUGCAUACAAAUUUGAAUUA